rnacentral:rRNA from 1 species
GACGAACGCUGGCGGCGUGCCUAAUACAUGCAAGUUGAGCGCUGAAGGUUGGUACUUGUACCGACUGGAUGAGCAGCGAACGGGUGAGUAACGCGUGGGGAAUCUGCCUUUGAGCGGGGGACAACAUUUGGAAACGAAUGCUAAUACCGCAUAAAAACUUUAAACACAAGUUUUAAGUUUGAAAGAUGCAAUUGCAUCACUCAAAGAUGAUCCCGCGUUGUAUUAGCUAGUUGGUGAGGUAAAGGCUCACCAAGGCGAUGAUACAUAGCCGACCUGAGAGGGUGAUCGGCCACAUUGGGACUGAGACACGGCCCAAACUCCUACGGGAGGCAGCAGUAGGGAAUCUUCGGCAAUGGGCGAAAGUCUGACCGAGCAACGCCGCGUGAGUGAAGAAGGUUUUCGGAUCGUAAAACUCGGUUGGUAGAGAAGAACGUUGGUGAGAGUGGAAAGCUCAUCAAGUGACGGUAACUACCCAGAAAGGGACGGCUAACUACGUG